CCUCCCGGUUCUCAGAGUGCUAGAAUGACAGGCGUGAACCAUCGCGCCCCGCCACGCCAACAGACUUUCCAGAACUGUUACGGGGAGGCGCGCCCAGCGGGGACGCUGAGUCACGGUGACCCGGCGAAGAUCAGGAUGGUCACAGCAGUGGCCACACAAUGCGCAGAAGGCCACCAGCGCAUGGUUGGCAUGCAGCAUUUCAGCUACACCCCGUCUCCAUGCUGGCAGCCCCACUCUCAAGGAGUCCUCAGGUAGGAAAGUCAAGUCUCAAGCCUGCCGACUGCCUGUGUGUCCUCCAUUUGUCAGAUGGGGCCUAGGCCUCCAAGGACCCUCUAGGAGCACAAAUCUAACAUCUGUUCUGCUUCCACCCCACCCAUCCGGUUUCACAGCCAGGGAGACAGGACUCCACUUCUGUCUGCACCACUGCUGUGAAUCAAAGCCAGGGACGAGCACUGGGUGCUUGUGUUAAAUGGGAACACACUUGAAUAAAAUACGUACUGUUUCCUGCUAGCAUCUUAAUAUAAACUUGCAGUGUAUUCCUUAGCACAUUCAUGCAACAUGGCUGUUACUAAGCAACCUUGUCCUGAGGUACAUUUGGAAGGUUCUGGAACUUGGUCCCCAUGCUCACCCUCAAGGCAUCUCAGCAGAAAGAAGCUGUAAGUAGUACUUAUACUCUCAGGCUAUAUAUUAAUGCUCACAUGACUCCAUUUUCCUAAGUUCAUGAAAAAAAGUUCCAAUGAAGUGCUUUCUUUCUGUCAAUGAGUUGAAAUUCCCGUGUAACCCACCCUCCCUUUGUGGUUCUCAUGAUAUGGUCCUCCUCCUGCUAAGCAGGCUGGCAUCAUCCAGUGAGACAGGUCCUUCUUAUGCCUGUGAGGCAGGGUCUCUCUGCCAGAUUGGGUCCCUGGUGUGGGGAGAGGGUUAAACAAGUUCUCAUUCCUGGGUCUGCUUCUUGGACAGGCUGGCUGGGCAGGCCACAGCACCCAGGGUUGGUGGGUGUGGGUGUUGGCAGACCCCAACCCAAAGAGAGAGCUUGCAUCCUUCCAGGAGACAGUCCCUUUUCCACUGUAUUGGCUCCACUUGUGCAGAGGCUGACACCAUCUGUGUCCUUCGGGAAGCCAAGAGGGCAGGUGUGGCUGGUGGCUCUGCUUCCUGCCCAUUCCAUUCCAUUCCAUUCUAGCUCACCUUAAUAUUCCAAGUGACCUUCCCCCUUGCUCAGUCUCAGAAUCAGGGAACAAGCUGACCUAAAAACCAACUCGUGCAGCUUUUCAAAGUAAUGGGUCAGGACACUCUGACACAGUGUCUGCUGCAGUUCAUUUUAAACAAAGAUACAAAGUAUUAUUAAAUGUAUAUUUUUAAUAAAGCCAAUAGUUAUUUUACUUAUAGGAGCUUUAAAAGAUACAAAAUGUAGAGUUCCAGUUUGGAAGCAUUGUAACUAUUCACACGAUGUCCUGCUGAUGCCCGAGCAAGGCAGCCACGCCCGGCCAUGCGAAGGACACACAUAUUCACACACGCACACACAUGCGCUUUGGCGAGACCCCUCUGCCGAGCGCAGCACCUGGAAUUACCAGUGUUCAGAGCAAGGUGGUGCUGGGAACGCAGCACCUACAUAGAGACCACACAGACAGCUUCACACAGUCUCACUGCCAUGGAGAUGCAAUUAAAAAAUGUCUUCCUUAAUAGAGAAGAACAAACUGGAAAGUGACAAUUAACAAUGUCAACUGCGCUGGGGGCAUCAAGGACCGACCUCUGUCCAAGGUGAGGUCUUUGGGGAGGCACUAUUAAAACAAGAGUACGUCAGUAUAAUAGAACUCGAAAUACAGGGUACUGUGGACACGUUACCGAAGGAAAUAGAAAACUAUCUUACAAGGAAAACAGCCACAAACAACUUUAACAGAGAUUAGUGUGCACACUGUGACAGCUAACACAGACGAGAGCCACACGGGGUUGGUGCAAAGCACGUGCCUGAAAAGGUCUAUAUACAAAAUAGUUCUCUGUAAACAUGGUGAGGUGAAUGUCAGAACCACGG